rnacentral:rRNA from 1 species
AGUGAACGCUGGCGGUAGGCCUAACACAUGCAAGUCGAACGGCAGCACAGUAAGAGCUUGCUCUUACGGGUGGCGAGUGGCGGACGGGUGAGGAAUACAUCGGAAUCUACUUUUUCGUGGGGGAUAACGUAGGGAAACUUACGCUAAUACCGCAUACGACCUACGGGUGAAAGCAGGGGAUCUUCGGACCUUGCGCGAUUGAAUGAGCCGAUGUCGGAUUAGCUAGUUGGCGGGGUAAAGGCCCACCAAGGCGACGAUCCGUAGCUGGUCUGAGAGGAUGAUCAGCCAAAUUGGAACGAAGAACCGGCCAAGACCCCUAGGGGAGGCCGCAGUGGGGAAUAUUGGACAAUGGGCGAAAGCCUGAUCCAGCCAUACCGGGGGGGUGAAGAAGGCCUUCGGGUGGUAAAGCCCUUUUGUUGGGAAAAAAAAGCAGCAGGUUAAUACCCCGCUGUUCUGACGGUACCCAAAGAAUAAGCACCGGCUAACUUCGU